UUUGGCUUUCAUCCCCAUGUUCCCACGUAUGGCUCCUAGGGUUGUGGGCAGUUUGUUUCUGUCGGUUCACCCCACUAUCCUUUUUCUCCUCCUAAAUCCUUGCUACUACAACCGCACCUCCUGUAGGUUAUUUAUAAAUCAUCCCCAAACCUUCCAUUCCCCAUUCUCAAAUUUACAUUCUUCAAUUAUUCUCCGCCAUUCAAAAUACAUCCAACUUUACAAGCCAGUGGAAUAGUUCGAUUUCAUCAACAAUCCAUUGGAGGAGCCAUUACCAACAACCGAUUGGUAAACCCUUACCUAUUUUCUCAUCUUCUACGUUCAAUCUCCGGUUGGUUUCUGUUGUAAUACAAAUCACCAAACAAACAAACAAACCCUUCCUUUCAUCUCUCCAGCGACAAAUAAACCAACAUGGGCAGUUCCAUAUGAAGCCGCGUCGGAAAAUGAAAUUGCAGAGAGAACAUCUAAUUCUUGAAGUUUCAUCGCAUCUCACCUCUAAAGAUAUAAUCAUUGCCAGUUUCUUUUCAAGGACACCACUGCCUCCCAACUGUGAGAUCGAACAAAGUUAAGGUUACAUCUACAACAGUAUCACCUAGCCCUUGAAUUCAAGAUGGGAUUUUAUGGUCAUCAAAGGAGGUACCGUGCAUAGAAGAAUUCCCCUUGUCUGCAGCCAACCCAUGUGGACGAACCAAGUGGGGGCACAUCUAAGUGGAUAUGUUGGUGAAGAUCCUCUUGCAAUAAAAAAUAAUCUUAUGCCUUUUGUCCAGAAUCGCCGUUGACAGGGUUCUGCACUCAAAAGUAAUCUCAACCAAAGAUGGAACAUGGGUACGUGAUUACAUAUAUGUUGCAGAUUUUAGCUAAUGGGCAUAUGGCUGCAUUUAAAAAAGGGUAAUUGCACGGUACCCACGACCGCGGGAGGGUUCUCCCUCCCCAGCAGGAUAGCCCCAUACCUAACUGGCGGUGAAUCCCCAGCCAUCGAGUGGACCAUAGGUUUUUUGAUAAUCGACCGGAGUCGAACCCGGGUCCCCACGAUUUGUGUGGGUGAGGCUGGCUACUGGGCUGACACCCAGUGGUUAUAUGGCUGCAUUUAGAAAACUCACAGUCCUGAAAUAGGUAUGUAUUCUUUUGUAAUGUUUGCUUAUUUCAUAUAUAUUAUAUUAAUAUUUACUAGACACAAUUACAAAUAAUCACAACUAUAUGGCAAAUUGUAGUUAAUUAAAUGAUAUGCAUGUCAUUAUUUUGGAUUUUGCUACCAUCAGGAUAAAAAAUAAGAAGAAUCUACUUCUAUCUUAUUUACGAUAUUUUUAAUAUAAAAAUUUAAAUGGGUGAAACAUUGGAGCAACUGUAAGGUUAUUAGUAUGAGACCUGGAGGUCAUGGGCCAAAUAAGAAGAUUCUUGAUCAUUGAAAUAAAGCUACUGCUACAUGGUUGGUCAUUUCCCUUUAGGCGUAUGGGUUUACCGAAACCACAGGUGGAGUCCCAUGAAUUGCAGAAUUCGUAUGGGAGCAUGAUAGUAGGCACCGUUGGGCAGCUCAUAGCCAACUGUGAAGCAAAGAUAGUUAACCAAAACACGGGGCCGGGUUGCCUUCUAUGAACCAUAGUGAAUUAUGGGUUAGAGGCUCAUUCAGUGCUGCCUAUCAUUUACUUUUUCAUUAAAAUGACAGUAUUUCAUGUUUUAUCUCUCUAUAAGUUUUAUUUUAUACUGUUUGUGGUUGUACACCGUUCACAUGGGUUUUCCUUUUAUAGAUUAUAAAAAUGGUGCUUUUGUUUA